GGCGAGUGGCGAACGGGUGAGUAAUACAUCGGAACGUAUCCUGGAGUGGGGGAUAGCCCGGCGAAAGCCGGAUUAAUACCGCAUACGCUCUGAGGAGGAAAGCGGGGGACCUUCGGGCCUCGCGCUCAAGGGGCGGCCGAUGGCGGAUUAGGUAGUUGGUGGGGUAAAGGCCUACCAAGCCGACGAUCCGUAGCUGGUCUGAGAGGACGACCAGCCACACUGGGACUGAGACACGGCCCAGACUCCUACGGGAGGCAGCAGUGGGGAAUUUUGGACAAUGGGGGCAACCCUGAUCCAGCAAUGCCGCGUGUGUGAAGAAGGCCUUCGGGUUGUAAAGCACUUUUGUCCGGAAAGAAAUCAUCGGGGCUAAUAUCCCUGGUGGAUGACGGUACCGGAAGAAUAAGCACCGGCUAACUACGUGCCAGCAGCCGCGGUAAUACGUAGGGUGCGAGCGUUAAUCGGAAUUACUGGGCGUAAAGCGUGCGCAGGCGGUGCUGUAAGACCGAUGUGAAAUCCCCGGGCUUAACCUGGGAACUGCAUUGGUGACUGCAGCGCUGGAGUAUGGCAGAGGGGGGUGGAAUUCCACGUGUAGCAGUGAAAUGCGUAGAGAUGUGGAGGAACACCGAUGGCGAAGGCAGCCCCCUGGGCCAAUACUGACGCUCAUGCACGAAAGCGUGGGGAGCAAACAGGAUUAGAUACC
rnacentral:rRNA from 1 species